rnacentral:lncRNA from 1 species
UUUUUUGUUGUUGUUGUUGUUAUUGUUGCUAUCUCUUGGUUCUUGGGCCGCUCCCGCGGCAUAUGGAGGUUCCCAGGCUAGGGGUUGAAUCGGAGCUGUAGCCACCGGCCUACGCCAGAGCCACAGCAACGCGGGAUCCGAGCCGCGUCUGCAACCUACACCACAGCUCACGGCAACGCCGGAUCGUUAACCCACUGAGCAAGGGCAGGGACCGAACCCGCAACCUCAUGGUUCCUAGUCGGAUUCGUUAACCACUGCACCACGACGGGAACUCCGGUCUCUUUUCUUUGCAACAAAAAUAGCUGAAGUAGCACGGUGUGCUGGAAUAUUAAUAUCACUCCUCAAAAAAGAAUCCAUUUUCAGAUCAAAUGAGGUCACAUGGAAUCUUCAUAAAUGAACUAUGUCAGAUGAGCUCCUUGGAGAAUGACCUUCACCAUAUGGCCUUUCAUCCAAGAUUAUUUCAAGAAAUCAUCAUAGGAAUUCUAUAUUUGCAUUUGCUCUAAAAUGGUUAUAAAAAGCACUGUAACUUGAUAUUCUUUAUAUAAAGCCCAAUAUAAGAAAUUUAUUUUAGAACUUGGUAUCAGAAAUAAACCAAAAAAAUCUCCGUUUCCUUCUUUCUAUAAUGAGAGAGAUGAUACUUCCUGUGUUUCCUUUUUUGACCUGGCUACUGGGAAGCUCAGGGCUAGAAACUGCUAAUCCUUUCCUUGGGCCUAUCAUGCUGUUUCUGUUAUACUAACCUUUUAAAUUUUAUUUGUUAAUGAUAUUCUUUGUUGUAAGCUAUCUCCGUCUUUUUAUUUGGAGAGAAGUGGGAAGAGAUGUAAAUAAAGGCUUUAUUCAUCCCAGGUUUAAGCCUAUGCAAAGUCUGGUUGACCUAGUUCCCUAAGACCUAGGACUUGUAAAUUCAAACAUACCUAAAGAAAAACAAACACGAAUUUCAUUUCUUACAAUUAGCUUGGGGUUAGAAAGGAAAACAAAUAUAUCUCCUGGAAUAGUUCAUAAUUCACCCAGGCCCUGACAUUUGCUGCUGUCUGCGGGCUGAGACAAGCCCACUUUAUUCCUCACACCGCCUCCCUGGGUGGCGUCUGUGUCCCAGCGCAGUGACGUGACCCUUCUAAGAAAGAACGGCAGACCCAGCAAAGCAGAACAGAAACCAUUUUCAAUUAAAAAGUCACUCAUGCUCAGGCUGACAGAUCACCCGAGCUACUUCUGACAGCCUGGUAACCAGUAAUUUUUCCACUUUGCAAGGACGAUUAAGUUCCUUCAAAUGGCAGCAAUGUGAACCGGGCCUAUUAACAAGCUCCUGUGUCUGUGCGGUUUUGCUGGGCACUUUCUCCAAAGCCAGGGCCAGGCGAGACCCAUCACUGUGCCCGCUCAUGAGCCCUGUGUGUUCAAGAUCACUCACUGAGAUGGUGAGGCCAUGGGUAGCAUUUCCCCUGGCCCAGUAGGGACGUGGACCCCCACCCAGGCUGCCCCUCUCCUGCAGCCUCUCAAUUCUCACUCCCAGGAAAGGAAAAAGCACCAGCAGUUCCAGUCACACUCCUAAGGUUGCUGAUCUUUUCUCUUAAAAAUGCCCCCCUCUGCGAGUUCCUGUUGUAGCUCCGCAGGUUAAGAACCCGACUAGUAUCCAUUGAGGAUGUGGGUUGGAUCCCUGGCCUCACUCAGUGGGUUAAGGACCUGGCGUUGCUGCGAGCUGCAGCGUAGUUCGCAGAUGCAGCUUGGGUCUGUGUGUAGGCCAACAGUUGCAGCUAUGUCUGGGCCUCUAGCCUAGGCACUUCGUGUGUGUUUUUUUUUAAUGACUUUUAUUUUUCCAUUAUAGUUGGUUUACAGUAUUGUGUCAGUUUCCUACCACACACCAAAGUGAUCCAGUCACACACACACACACACACACAUACAUUCUUUUUCUCACAUUAUCCUCCAUCGUGCUCCAUCAUAAGUGACUAGGUAUAGUUCCCAGUGCUAAACAGCAGGAUCUCAUUGCUUAUCCAUUCCAAAGGCAAUAGUUUGCACCUAUUAACCCCAGAUUCCUAGUCCAUCCCACCCCCUCCCCCUCCCCCUUGGCAACCACAAGUCUGUUCUCCAAGUCCAUGAGUUUCUUUUCUGUGGCAAGGUUUAUUUGUGCUGUAUAUUAUAUUCCAGACAGAAGUGAUAUCAUAUGGCAUUUGUCUUUCUCUUUCUGACCUACUUCACUUAGGAUGAGUCUUUAGUUCCAUCCAUGUUGCUGCAAAUGGCAUUAUUUUGUCCUUUUUUAUGGCUAAGUAGUAUUCCGUUGUGUAUAUAUACCACAUCUUCUUAAUCCAUUCAUCUAUCAAUGGGCAUUUAGUUUUUUUCCAUAUCUUGGCUAUCGUGAAUAGGGCUGCAGUGAACUUACUAACCUGGGAACUUCCAUAUGCUGUAGAGUGUGGUCCCUACCCUAGCAGCAUCUCUUGGGAAUUUGACAGAAAGGCAGCUUCUCUAGCCAACCCCAGACUUGCUGAAUCAGAAGAUCAGGCAUGGUCCUGCAAUCCGUGUUUUCUUCACAGGCCUCCAGGGGCUACUAAUGUGUGCUCAAGUUUGAGCAUUGCUGGGAUGGAGCAGAACAUCACUGGUUCAUUCAUUUUGGAAGGUUUGAGACUGGUUACGCUAACCCAUGCACAGAGCCUGAGAUGAGGGUUGAGAAGGGACAGAAAAGACAAAGCCUUAAUUCUGGUCUUCAGUCUACUUUACUCCUAUUGCUUCUCUCUGCAUUUAUUAAGAGGAGAAAAAAGCAGGGGAAGUGGGAGGAGGAUCUGAAGGGAAGGAGAAGGGGAAGAGGACAGGAUAUCAAAGAAUAUGCAGCCACUGAGCUUUAAAACCUCCUCAGACAAUAAACAAAAGACAAAUGAUUAAACAAGAGAAUUACAGACAUAGCAACUGUUAGGAAGAAAGGGAAAAGGAGGGGAAAGACUGCAUUUCAUCAAACAGUGGUUCUCACUUAGGGUGAGUGUGGUCCCCUGGGGACACUUGGUUACUCUGGCCUCCCUUCUGCUCUAAUUUAUGUCUUUUGAAUUGUUUGGAAGGAGAAUGAAAGGACUGUAAGAGCAAGAGAGGAAGUGGGGAAACUACUGGGAGGCUGUCGCUGUUGCCCAGGUGAGCAGUGAUGGUAGCUUUCAGGAGAGGGCUAGGAGAAGAUGCUCCUAUUUGUUGGGGUCUCCAGGGCAGAGAAGAAUAACUUGCAAGUUCAUUUCUGAAUCCCAUGGGCUUAAUGCUGAGGGUCUAAAUCUAGAACUUGCUAGUUCAUCCAAAGCUGCCUUUUGGUGAAAAGUCAUAGAUUUGCCUGUGCAUGACAUAGGUGGAUAAGAAGCCUGAUUUCCUUCUUGGGUUUUCACAAUGGAGUAAGAGCCCUGUCCUUUAUGCAUCUGCUACUCUGGUAGUGGCAGGAAAGAUGGAGAACGGAGAUUAGAAAGAGAGAAUGGUCAAGGUUGCCUGAUGCACUGGAUGUGGGGGUAUAGGAGAGGGUUCCAGAUGAGCCCUGAGGGCAGCAGGGGUGAACAUGAACCUAUAAGGCAGCCCAUAUGCCACAGACUGAUGUCUGGGGUAACAGAUGAGCAUGGACUGAUAUCUGCGAUAACAGAUGAGAUGGAUAAGACGAAGGAAACUUAAUAGUAGAUCCCCUUGAAGAGAACUCACUAGAGUCACAGCUCCUGUGAGUCAUUCACUCUGUGGGGACCAGGAAACUCAGCCAUCCUCACUGGAGCUCAACACUCAUUCACAAGGUGACCCUGAGGGAGAACAGGGUCCCCUUCACAUGCCAGGGAGGGUGCCAAGAGCACCCUCCUGAGUUUCACCAGCAUCCAACACAGACUGGAAAGCCAGCAUGGCUGUCUGGCCCCUGCAGAGACCAUGGAUGAAAUCCAGCCAUCAUCCGUCAUCUGUAAUAUCUGGAGAUUAGGAAGCCAGCGAGGGCUGCGUGUGCUUUUCACAUUCAUCAUGCAGCACAACGAGGCCCCCUCUGAAGCCAACAAUGGCGCCAGGAGAGCUUUCGUGAAAAGACGUGAGCAAUCGAAAUUUUCCACUCCUUUCAUUGCCCUAAAAAUCAUACGUAUGGGUUCUGGCCCACAUUUGAACUUUCCAGAAGAAGGCGAUUAUUGUUUUUCUCUUUUGUUUUUCUUGGUUACCUGCUGCUCCGUCUCUGGGCUGGGCUGUUUUGGAAUUUUUGCAGAAGGAUUUCUAAGCACGUGUGACAAUUCUGGUUUGCGGUGACGAUGGAUGUGCUCAGGAGAGAAAGUUCCAUGCCAAGUGUGGUCCUCCUUAGCCCAAGCUGGGCAUGUGUUGGAAUCAAACCACAAAGGAUCUCCUACAGACCAUCCAGCCGGCUGCCGUUUAUCCUCUGUGUCAAGUCGAGCCUGCGUAACUUUCACAUUCUCUUCACUCUCAUGCCUUGUAGCUCAGAGAGGGUAAAGGACUUUUCUGAGGUUACACAGCAAAACAAUUUGCAUACCUUCCUUAAUUCUAGUCUUUUGCACUAAAGAAGGAGGAAUAUUUCUUCUCCAAGACCUCAAUCAGUUGUUAUUUUACAGAUGAGUCUGGUAACAAUGAGAACACUUCCAAAAUGGAAUGGAUUGCUUUUGACUUAAUGAACGCUUCCUUGAUAGAGAGCAAGGGUAUCACGGAGGGCAGUCAAUGGUGUGCUAAAGUUCCUGCAGGUCCCUGGAGGCCAUCCUGUGCCUCUCACAGUGCCACCCCCAGUGACAUCUCAUGGGUACCUUAAGAUCAUCCAUGGUGACAGUAGUUACACCAUGGAAAUUGGUAAAUGCUACAAAGCAAGGUUUUUUGUUUUUUGUUUUUUGUUUUUUGUUUUCUCAGUAGAGGCAGCUGUUCAACUAAAUUUUACCAGCACACUGCUAAGACUAACUCAUUCAUUUACUCAUUCAGGCCACAAACCCUGAUCAAGCAUCUACUGUAUGUUUGACACUGGGCUAGAUAUGGAGUCUCAAAGAACUGAUGGAAAGUCUGCUCUUUACAGAGAUGCAUGAUAUGGAAACAGAGGUACAUAGCCUCCCCCUCACCUUCAUUCAGGAGGCUCCUUCAUUAUUGAUAGACAACAACCAAAAGAGUAGAACUAGAAGAGUUCUGUUGUCCUGCACAGCUGUAGGAAGCCACUUAGCUCACCAAAUGGGUGUUUCCCCCCAACCUUCUCCUCCUAUAACUUACUACAGGAAGAAAGAAAACACAGAGAGCCCUCAGUCAGAGCACUGGGUAAUGAUGGCGGGCAACUGGACCUGAGGGGAGACAGGUAGCAGGGAUGCGUAUAAUGUCC